AUGGCUCAGAUUGAACGCUGGCGGCAGGCCUAACACAUGCAAGUCGAGCGGCAGCGGGGAGUAGCUUGCUACUCUGCCGGCGAGCGGCGGACGGGUGAGUAAAGUCUGGGGAUCUGGCUUAUGGAGGGGGAUAACCAUUGGAAACGGUGGCUAAUACCGCAUGAUGUCGCAAGACCAAAGUGGGGGACCUUAGGGCCUCACGCCAUGAGAUGAACCCAGAUGAGAUUAGCUAGUAGGUGCGGUAAUGGCGUACCUAGGCGACGAUCUCUAGCUGGUCUGAGAGGAUGACCAGCCACACUGGAACUGAGAGACGGUCCAGACUCCUACGGGAGGCAGCAGUGGGGAAUAUUGCACAAUGGGCGGAAGCCUGAUGCAGCCAUGCCGCGUGUGUGAAGAAGGCCUUAGGGUUGUAAAGCACUUUCAGCGGGGAGGAAGGCGGUAAGAGUAAUAUGCUUAUCGAUUGACGUUACCCGCAAAAGAAGCACCGGCUAACUCCGUGCCAGCAGCCGCGGUAAUACGGAGGGUGCGAGCGUUAAUCGGAAUAACUGGGCGUAAAGGGCAUGUAGGCGGUAAGUUAAGUCAGAUGUGAAAUCCCCGAGCUUAACUUGGGAACGGCAUUUGAGACUGGCUGGCUAGAGUUUUGUAGAGGGGGGUAGAAUUCCAGGUGUAGCGGUGAAAUGCGUAGAGAUCUGGAGGAAUACCGGUGGCGAAGGCGGCCCCCUGGACAAGGACUGACGCUGAGGUGCGAAAGCGU
rnacentral:rRNA from 1 species